UACGAAGGGGGCUAGCGUUGCUCGGAAUUACUGGGCGUAAAGCGCGUGUAGGUGGUGGGACAAGUCUGCUGUGAAAGCGCCUGGCUUAACCGGGCGAGGUCGGCGGAAACUGUCCGACUCGAGGACGGUAGAGGGGGGUGGAAUUCCCGGUGUAGUGGUGAAAUGCGUAGAGAUCGGGAGGAACACCUGUGGCGAAGGCGGCCCCCUGGGCCGGCCCUGACACUGAGACGCGAAGGCGUGGGGAGCGAACGGG
rnacentral:rRNA from 1 species